rnacentral:tmRNA from 1 species
GGGGAUGACUAGGUUUCGACAGGGUAAGGAUGAUAAUUCGUGCAAGGAUGUGUGAGUGAGCACAGUAAAAACACUCAAACUUAUAAACGCAAAUGAUGACGUUGAACUAGAUAACUUCGCACUCGCUGCUUAAUUAUCUUGGGGUGGCAACAACCUUAAUACCCAAAGUUGCAAAAAACUUUAUUUUUUGUGCUAUGUGCUUGUUGGAGCCAAAAACCAACUAACCUUGUGAAUGACGUAUUAUUUGAGAUUUUCUGGACGCGGGUUCGACUCCCGCCAUCUCCACCA